rnacentral:tRNA from 1 species
CAUUAAGUAUCUUAAAAGCAAGUAUUGAUCUCUUAAAUCAAGUUAAGUAAAAUAGUAGUUACUCUUAAUGA